AGCAUGACUGUAGCAAUACAGUUGAUGGCGACCGGCAAACGGGUGCGGAACACGUACACAACCUUCCUUUUAGUGGAGAAUAGCCCAGGGAAACUUGGAUUAAUACUCCGUAACAUAUAGAAGUGGCAUCACUUUUAUAUUAAAGCAGCAAUGCGCUAGAAGAUGGGUGUGCGGCUGAUUAGAUAGUUGGCGGGGUAACGGCCCACCAAGUCGACGAUCAGUAACUGGUGUGAGAGCACGACCAGUCACACGGGCACUGAGACACGGGCCCGACUCCUACGGGAGGCAGCAGUAAGGAAUAUUGGUCAAUGGACGCAAGCCUGAACCAGCCAUGCCGCGUGGAGGAUGAAGGUCCUCUGGAUUGUAAACUUCUUUUAUCUGGGAAGAAAUCCAUUUUUUCUAAAAUGGUUGACGGUACCAGAUGAAUAAGCACCGGCUAACUCCGUGCCAGCAGCCGCGGUAAUACGGAGGGUGCAAGCGUUAUCCGGAUUCACUGGGUUUAAAGGGUGCGUAGGUGGGUAAGUAAGUCAGUGGUGAAAUCUCCGGGCUUAACCCGGAAACUGCCAUUGAUACUAUUUGUCUUGAAUACUGUGGAGGUCAGCGGAAUAUGUCAUGUAGCGGUGAAAUGCUUAGAUAUGACAUAGAACACCAAUUGCGAAGGCAGCUGGCUACACAAAUAUUGACACUGAGGCACGAAAGCGUGGGGAUCAAACAGGAUUAGAUACCCUGGUAGUCCACGCCCUAAACUAUGGAUACUCGACAUUUGCGA
rnacentral:rRNA from 1 species